rnacentral:rRNA from 1 species
GCAGCCAUCAUUUAAAGAAAGCGUAAUAGCUCACUGGUCGAGUCGGCCCGCGCGGAAGAUGUAACGGGGCUAAACCAUGCACCGAAGCUGCGGCAGCGACACAAUGUGUUGUUGGGUAGGGGAGCGUUCUGUAAGCCUGCGAAGGUGUACUGUGAGGUAUGCUGGAGGUAUCAGAAGUGCGAAUGCUGACAUAAGUAACGAUAAUGCGG